rnacentral:rRNA from 1 species
AGAGUUUGAUCCUGGCUCAGAUUGAACGCUGGCGGCAGGCCUAACACAUGCAAGUCGAGCGAGAAAGUUACUUCGGUAGCGAGUAGAGCGGCGGACGGGUGAGUAACGCGUAGCUAUCUGCCUAGUAGUGGGGGACAACAUGUGGAAACGCAUGCUAAUACCGCAUACGCCCUACGGGGGAAAGCGGGGGAUCUUCGGACCUCGCGCUAUUAGAUGAGGCUGCGUAGGAUUAGCUAGUUGGUGGGGUAAAGGCUCACCAAGGCGACGAUCCUUAGCUGGUUUGAGAGGAUGAUCAGCCACACUGGGACUGAGGCACGGCCCAGACUCCUACGGGAGGCAGCAGUGGGGAAUAUUGCACAAUGGAGGAAACUCUGAUGCAGCCAUGCCGCGUGUGUGAAGAAGGCCUUAGGGUUGUAAAGCACUUUCAGUUGUGAGGAAAGGUUGUAGUUUAAUACGCUGCAACUGUGACGUUAGCAACAGAAGAAGCACCGGCUAACUCCGUGCCAGCAGCCGCGGUAAUACA